AAAAUAACAUGAUUCUUUUAGUAAUGGCGAAUGAACAAAGACAUGGUCAUUUUGAAAAUUGUGGUCUUAGAUCAUGAAUUGUAUUUUCAAAAUGCAUUGCUAACACAACUGCACAUGUUUGUUUAUUGGAAAGAACAUCACAAAGGGUGACAAUCCCAUGUGUCAUGUGUAUGUUUUGUGUACAGUGUGCAUUAUAUGAAUCACAUUCAUUGACAAUUGAAUGCAAAUAGAAUGGUAAAUUUCAUUUAAUCAUAAAUAUGUUGUUGACAACUUAUAGCAAACAAAUACCAUGAGGGAAAUGUGAAAAGGAUUUUGAAAAGAAAAUUAAAAGAGCUUGCAAUUGCUGAACUGAUAAGCAAACAAAACAUACGUGUGUAUGCAAGAUUGUUGUAAUGCUUAGCAUCUUUUGCAAGGUUAUUGCAAUGAUUUUUUGUAUAGUGAUGCUACCUUUUUUUGGAAUUUGGAAUGUCUUUUUUUGAGUGUGAAUGGAAUUUUGUUUGUUAGCAAAGGAAUGCACUUUUAGAUUCAUUGUUUGAUUUGAUUUAAAAAUGUUUGUGACACAUGUCUUUGUGUUAGUUUCAUGAUUCAACCAAGGACAUUGUGUUUGAUCCAUGUCAGCAAUACAUGUUUUGUUUGACCCGUCUUGAAACACGGACCAAGGAGUUUAAUUUAUGUGCAAGAUCAUGAAACUGACAUUUGUAUAUCAAUGAAAAUAUUUUGUUGGGAUUUGUGCACCAACAACUGAUAAGUUGUGUGACGCGACGUUGAGUUUGAGCAUGUUGAUUAAAACCCGAAAGAUGGUGAACUAUGCCUGAACAGAAUGAAGUCAGAGGAAACUCUGAUGGAAGUUCGUAUCGAUACUGACGUGCAAAUCGUUCGUCAUACUUGGGUAUA
rnacentral:rRNA from 1 species